CCUACGGGUGGCAGCAGUCGAGAAUCAUUCACAAUGGGGGAAACCCUGAUGGUGUGACGCCGCGUGGAGGAUGAAGGUCUUCGGAUCGUAAACUCCUGUCAUGUGGGAGUGAGUACCACAAGAGGAAGGGACGGCUAACUCUGUGCCAGCAGCCGCGGUAAUACAGAGGUCCCAAGCGUUGUUCGGAAUCACUGGGCGUAAAGGGUGCGUAGGCGGCGCGGAAAGUCAGGGGUGAAAUCCCGGAGCUCAACUCCGGAACUGCCUUUGAUACUCCCGCGCUUGAGAACUGGAGGGGAGACCGGAAUUCACGGUGGAGCAGUGAAAUGCGUGGAUAUCGUGAGGAACACUAGUGGCGAAGGCGGGUCUCUGGACAGUUCUGACGCUGAGGCACGAAGGCCAGGGGAGCGAACGGGAUUAGAUACCCUUGUAGUC
rnacentral:rRNA from 1 species